rnacentral:rRNA from 1 species
AUGAACGCUGGCGGCGUGCCUAACACAUGCAAGUCGAGCGGCAGCGAGGGGUGCUUGCACCCUGUCGGCGAGCGGCGGACGGCUGAGUAACGCGUGGGAACGUGCCCCAAAGUGAGGAAUAACUGCCCGAAAGGGUAGCUAAUACCGCAUAUUAUCUUCGGAUCAAAGGAUUUAUCCGCUUUGGGAGCGGCUCGCGUCGGAUUAGGUAGUUGGUGAGGUAAUGGCUCUCCAAGCCGACGAUCCGUAGCUGGUCUGAGAGGAUGACCAGCCAGACUGGAACUGAGACACGGUCCAGACUCCUACGGGAGGCAGCAGUGAGGAAUCUUCCACAAUGGGCGAAAGCCUGAUGGAGCAACGCCGCGUGCAGGACGAAGGCCUUCGGGUUGUAAACUGCUUUUAUAAGUGAGGAAUAUGACGGUAACUUAUGAAUAAGGAUCGGCUAACUACGUG